rnacentral:rRNA from 1 species
AUUCCAGCUCCAAUAGCGUAUAUUAAAGUUGUUGCGGUUAAAAAGCUCGUAGUUGGAUCUCGGUUUCACUCAGGCGGUACACCUUGCGGUGUUCACUGUCUGGGCGGACGUUUCUGUUGGUUCGCUGUUGGUUCUCUUAAUCGAGUGCCAAUUGGUGGCCAGCACGUUUACUUUGAAGAAAUUGGAGUGCUCAAAGCAGGCGUUACAGCCUGAACAUUAGUGCAUGGAAUAAUGGAAUAGGAUCUCGAUUCUAUUUCGUUGGCUUUCGGAGUCGAGGUAAUGAUUAAUAGGGACAGACGGGGGCAUUCGUACUGCGACGUUAGAGGUGAAAUUCUUGGAUCGUCGCAAGACGAACUACUGCGAAAGCAUUUGCCAAGAAUGUUUUCAUUAAUCAAGAACGAAAGUUAGAGGUUCGAAGGCGAUCAGAUACCGCCCUAGUUCUAACCAUAAACGAUGCCAACCGGCGAUCCGUCGUCGUUAAUUGAAUGACUCGACGGGCAGCCUCCGGGAAACCAGAGUGUUUGGGUUCCGGGGGAAGUAUGGUUGCAAAGCUGAAACUUAAAGGAAUUGACGGAAGGGCACCACCAGGAGUGGAGCCUGCGGCUUAAUUUGACCCAACACGGGAAAUCUCACCAGGCCCGGACACCGGAAGGAUUGACAGAUUGAGAGCUCUUUCUUGAUUCGGUGGGUGGUGGUGCAUGGCCGUUCUUAGUUGGUGGAGCGAUUUGUCUGGUUAAUUCCGAUAACGAACGAGACUCUGGCCUACUAACUAGAAGGGUCGUUCUUUACGAGCGGCCCUCUGCUUCUUAGAGGGACGGGCGGCGUUUAGCCGCACGAGAAUGAGCAAUAACAGGUCUGUGAUGCCCUUAGAUGUUCUGGGCUGCACGCGCGCUACACUGAAGGAAUCAGCAUGUUCUCCCCUCCCUGAAAAGGGCGGGUAACCCGUUGAAACUCCUUCGUGAUGGGGAUUGGAGAUUGUAAUUAUUCUCCAUGAACGAGGAAUUCCCAGUAGGCGCGAGUCAUCAGCUUGCGUCGAUUACGUCCCUGCCCUUUGUACACACCGCCCGUCGCUACUACCGAUCGAGUGAUUUAGUGAGGACUUCGGACUGGUCUCCAAGUUGGCUUCGGUCAGCUCGGAGUUCCGGAAAGAUGCCCAAACUUGAUCACUUAGAGGAAGUAAAAGUCGUAACAAGGUUUCCGUAGGUGAACCUGCGGAAG